rnacentral:hammerhead_ribozyme from 1 species
AUCCAACUGACGAGUCCCAAAACAGGACGAAACUCGCGUUAAACGGGAU